rnacentral:rRNA from 1 species
AACGAACGCUGGCGGCAUGCCUAACACAUGCAAGUCGAACGGAUGGCUUCGGCCAUCAGUGGCGCACGGGUGAGUAACGCGUGGGAAUCUGCCCAGCAGUGGGGGAUAACCUCGGGAAACUGAGGCUAAUACCGCAUACGCCCCUCGGGGGAAAGGCUUGCUGCUGCUGGAGGAGCCCGCGUCGGAUUAGGUAGUUGGUGGGGUAAUGGCCUACCAAGCCUGUGAUCCGUAGCUGGUCUGAGAGGAUGAUCAGCCACACUGGGACUGAGACACGGCCCAGACUCCUACGGGAGGCAGCAGUGGGGAAUAUUGGACAAUGGGCGCAAGCCUGAUCCAGCAAUGCCGCGUGAGUGAUGAAGGCCUUCGGGUUGUAAAGCUCUUUCGCCUACGACGAUGAUGACGGUAGUAGGAGAAGAAGCCCCGGCUAACUUCGUG